rnacentral:SRP_RNA from 1 species
GCCGAGCUUGGUAGCGUGAGCUUGUAACUCAAGUGAAGGCAUUAAAGUGGGAUGGACUUUGAAUGAGCUCAGAUUGGUUGGGUCAAGUGUCUGCAAUAUCUGGCCUCCCCGUUCCAAGUUCCGACUGGAAACAAGUGGUCCAAGUGGAGGCUUGGCCCCCUUGGUUCCUAGAGGAGAGGGCACUUGCCGGUUCGAGUUAGAUAAAGGCAUCGCCCGUUUCAAAUGAAGCAAGUGUUUCGUUUCAAGCGAAAAAGCUUGGGUCCCUUGAUUCAUAGCCUGGGGUCCCUUGAUUCAUAGCUGGCUUCACAGGGCUGCGACUACCUCUUGGUCUGAACAGUACAGGCCGGUGCAUCCUUGGCUCGAAUAAAGCUUGGCUCAUUCUAAUGGACUCCCACUUUU